CCACGUAGGGAGCAAGCGUUGUCCGGAUUUAUUGGGCGUAAAGAGCUCGUAGGCGGUUUUGUAAGUCGGAUGUGAAAACUCAGGGCCCAACCCUGAGACGCCAUCCGAUACUGCAAUGACUAGAGUCCGGUAGGGGAGCAUGGAAUUCCUGGUGUAGCGGUGGAAUGCGCAGAUAUCAGGAGGAACACCAGUGGCGAAGGCGGUGCUCUGGGCCGGUACUGACGCUGAGGAGCGAAAGCAUGGGGAGCAAACAGGAUUAGAAACCCUAGUAGUCC
rnacentral:rRNA from 1 species